UUUCUUCUUCUCCUCCUUCU
rnacentral:sRNA from 1 species